UCAUUGCUUUCAAUUAUAUCA
rnacentral:piRNA from 1 species